AGCAGCCGCGGUAAUUCCAGCUCCAAUAGCGUAUAUUAAAGUUGUUGCAGUUAAAAAGCUCGUAGUUGAAUUUCGGGAUUGACGUGACGGUCGUGCCUUACGGGGUAUGAACUGUCGCCGUUGAUUUCUCACCUUCUGGAGAAGCUCGAUGUCCUUAGUUGGGUGUCUUGCGGAACCAGGACCUUUACCUUGAAAAAAUUAGAGUGUUUAAAGCAGGCAUUUUGCUCGAAUACAUUAGCAUGGAAUAAUAGAAUAGGACGGCAUGGUUCUAUUUUGUUGGUUUCUAGGAUCACCGUAAUGAUUAAUAGGGAUAGUUGGGGGCAUUAGUAUUCAAUUGUCAGAGGUGAAAUUCUUGGAUUUAUUGAAGACUAACUACUGCGAAAGCAUUUGCCAAGGAUGUUUUCAUUAAUCAAGAACGAAAGUUAGGGGAUCGAAGACGAUCAGAUACCGUCGUAGUCUUAACCAUAAACUAUGCCGACUAGGAAUCAGACGAUGUUAAUUUUUUAAUGACUC
rnacentral:rRNA from 1 species